rnacentral:tRNA from 1 species
AAAAUCCGUCGACUUUAGAAAUCGUGAGGGUUCAAGUCCCCUCUAUGGUUCAAGUCCCUCUAUCCCCA